UGCAAGUCGAGCGGACCUUUUAAAGCUUGCUUUUGAAAGGUCAGCGGCGGACGGGUGAGUAACACGUGGGCAACCUGCCUGUAAGACUGGGAUAACUUCGGGAAACCGGAGCUAAUACCGGAUAAUAUAAGGAACCUCCUGGUUCUUUAUUGAAAGAUGGUUUCGGCUAUCACUUACAGAUGGGCCCGCGGCGCAUUAGCUAGUUGGUGAGGUAACGGCUCACCAAGGCGACGAUGCGUAGCCGACCUGAGAGGGUGAUCGGCCACACUGGGACUGAGACACGGCCCAGACUCCUACGGGAGGCAGCAGUAGGGAAUCUUCCACAAUGGACGAAAGUCUGAUGGAGCAACGCCGCGUGAGCGAUGAAGGCCUUCGGGUCGUAAAGCUCUGUUGUUAGGGAAGAACAAGUGCGAGAGUAACUGCUCGCACCUUGACGGUACCUAACCAGAAAGCCACGGCUAACUACGUGCCAGCAGCCGCGGUAAUACGUAGGUGGCAAGCGUUGUCCGGAAUUAUUGGGCGUAAAGCGCGCGCAGGUGGUCCUUUAAGUCUGAUGUGAAAGCCCACGGCUCAACCGUGGAGGGUCAUUGGAAACUGGGGGACUUGAGUGCAGAAGAGGAAAGUGGAAUUCCAAGUGUAGCGGUGAAAUGCGUAGAGAUUUGGAGGAACACCAGUGGCGAAGGCGACUUUCUGGUCUGUAACUGACACUGAGGCGCGAAAGCGUGGGGAGCAAACAGGAUUAGAUACCCUGGUAGUCCACGCCGU
rnacentral:rRNA from 1 species